rnacentral:tRNA from 1 species
GCGCCCAUGGCCAAGCGGCUAAGGCACUCGCCUGCAGAGCGAUGAUCGUGGGUUCGAGUCCCGCUGGGCGCU